UCCAGCUUAACGCUAGCAGUCUCCUUAGAGUGCCCAACUUAAUGAUGGCAACAAAGGACGUGGGUUGCGCUCGUUGCGGGACUUAACCCAACAUCUCACGACACGAGCUGACGACAGCCAUGCAGCACCUGUGUAUCGGUCCCCGAAGGGAAAGGCCUGUUUCCAGGACCGGUCCAAUACAUGUCAAGACCAGGAUAAGGUUCUUCGCGUUGCGUCGAAUUAAACCACAUGCUCCACUGCUUGUGCGGGUCCCCGUCAAUUUCUUUGAGUUUUAAUCUUGCGACCGUACUCCCCAGGCGGGAUGCUUAACGCGUUAGCUCCGUCACUGAAAGGUUAACACCUCCAACGACAAGCAUCCAUAGUUUACGGCGUGGACUAC
rnacentral:misc_RNA from 1 species